CGCGGGGCUAGCGCGGGCGUUCGCCGUUACUUCAGCCAUCGGGGUGAGGGCGGGCUCCGCGCCUGCGGAGCGAGGGACUUGGAACUUCCGUUUUACUGCAGAUACUUUUAAAGAAGAAAGAUUCUAAAAUUAUGGACUACUUGCAGGUAAUAAUGGGUUAAGUCUUCACAUCUGCCUGUGAUGAACACUGUGUUUAUGUGCUGUUUAAUGUUAUUUUUCUUCUGUCAGAUCAAAAGAUGCCUUUCUUAGGGGGAAAGAGUGAAACAGGACAGCCCUGAAUGUCAGCUUUCUCUCCAAAAAUGAAAAAAAAAAAAAAAAAGCAGCAGUAAGAUAAUCUUGAUUAAAGCUGACUAUGAAUAGGAACUUUGAGAAAUUUUGUCAAGAACUGCAUGAGUACUUGAUUAAUCACACAUACAUUUAUCUGUAGGCUAUGCUACAGGAAACAGGCAUGGUGAAUUACAGGGAAAGUCAAUUUUCAUCUCUUUCAAAGUGAUGUUUCCUGCCACAGCGAGGCAAAUCUCCUGCAGUAACUUUGCCAUUUAUACUGAAAUCCUGCUUUGCUGUCAGAUGAGCUGAGGGUAUUCUUAGCCAGUUAAUGUGAAUGUCAGUAUAAUGCAGCUGCUCUACAGUGCCUUACAUUAUAAAAGUAGGACAGACUAGAAUUAUUAGAAGUCACCAGGUUAUUUGUAAAUCAGAGCAGUGCUGGUUGGUACUUGUCAGUAGAUAGUUCUGACUCUUUUUUCUAUCCCAGAGACUACUAAAAAAAGUCGUUUCAGAUUCUGAAUGGCCAGGGCAUAGCUGUUCUUUCUAAUGAGUUACCUAAGAUUAUAUUUCCUCAGAUCAUUUGGUCAAAAUGAGAAUCCUAUGAAGUGCAGCAGCAUACAGCAACACGCGCACGACGAAAAUGAUUUGAUAUGGCAGAAGUUCAUUAAGCUUGACCUUUUUCUUCAGAUGGUAGACUUAGUAAAACUGAAAUGCAGCAGUGUUGUAAUGUGUGAUUCUAUCUUUAUUCUUUUGCUAUACGAAUUUCAGUCAGUGGUUGUUACCCAGCAAAAUUUGCUGCUGAAGUUAGAACUGCUGUUCUGUUGUGCACCUGUGCUCCUGCUGCUGUUUUGCAACAAACUUGACAUUAAUGAGCUACGAGAUGGAGAACAAUGAAUUCAGUUCACAAUCGUUUAUCAUUAUUAACAAUGACAGCAAGAGAGCCUUGCACUGAAGGUGAUAUACAUACUGCUAUCAUUUUGCUUUGUGACCCCAGCACAUUUGCAGUCAGGAAGGCAGAGAAGAAUCGAAGCUCAAACAGAGCAGUCCCGGAGCUAUCAGCACAAUACAUGUUUCUACGAAAGCUUUAGUGCCAGCAUUCACAGCAGUGAUGGAGUGGGCUUGAAUUGUCCUGUGCCUGACUACAUGAUGGUGAGAAUACAGUUGUGCUCACUGAGUUGGGCAUGCCCAGGACCCAGCUAGUCUAGAUCAAUAAGGGCCACCAGUCUGAUUUGGUUCAGAAACCACAACAAAAUCAGGUUUGAGCUUUCUCAGGCUGUACAUAGGAAUUCAGCUGUAUUUUACCAGCUGAGUCACAAUAAUAUCUCAAUUAAGUACAUCCAAUGCAUUGCAAAAUGGCUCCCCCAAAAAGCUUCCUUUUUGAAGUAGAAAGUGUUGAUGAGCAUCUACUGGAAGGCAAAAGUCUUUCUCUUUUUGUCCACUGGCUGAUCUUGAGUUUGUGCAGGUUCAGUGCUAAUAGGGUAAACAGGACUGAAAACUCACUGUGUGUAUAUACAUACAAACUUGACUGUGGCGUACAACUUCUUAAAUUGACUGGAAAAAUACAAAUAAUUUUGGGUGUAUGUUUUGAGAGUGAAAGAAGAGCAUAAUUGUUGUUACAGAUGUAUUAUUCAUACUUUAUAUUUUGGACUUGAAUUCUCUGAUUUCUAAUUUCUUGCUUAAGGUAAAGGCAGCAUAAAAUGAAUAAUUGUUUAAUCAGGAGGAAUUUAGCAAGCUUUUUUAUGUAGUCAGGUUAUGUCAUAAAGCAAGAAAAGUAAUCAUGUGAUUUGGCUUAUUACCACUAAUUAAUUUCCAUUUCCAUUUUGGGACAUUACAGAGUUUAAAUUUUACAGUUACUACAGAAAAACAGACACUGGAGAUUCUUCUCAGUCUCCUUUAGCAGAAACAUUACCUGUAUUGGAAUGCUCUGAUGUAAUUGAACUUAAUGAGCACGUGAGAUUUUGGGGGAGAAUAAGAAGUACUGGCCUAGCUGCUAUAAUGAAUAUUCCAUUCAAGUUAGAAUAAGACUGCAAGGAAACAUUUUCCUGAAGGGAUACGCCACACAGUAAAAUCCCUCCUGUUUAAAGAUAACUACCUCUGAAAGUGUCUAAAUGUGUAGAUUUCCCCUUUAGGAUGUGUUUAUAUUUAAUGUUCCUAUUUAAGGUAUAUUUAAAGUCUCCUUUAUUCACCUUUUUUGAACAAAGUUUGUGAGAGACUUACAUCUCACCAGUAGCGAGUGCUAUUUUGUCCACAGUUCUCUCCAGCCACAGCUGUGAGAAGACAAGAAAUGGAACACGUUAUGGUUUAGGCUAUCUAGAAUGAUUUAGAAUAUUAUGAUAAGAUUAUGUUUGAAUUUUCCAAGGGAAUUAAUGGAAAGAAACCUACUGUAGUCACAUUUCAACUUGCCUUAGCAGAGCAACUAAUCUUCAUCAGCCAGGUCUGGCAGUAAAAGAUUGACUGUUAUCACUCAUUUUUCUGCAGUCUACUCUAUGCAAAUAACCUUCAAGUCACACUUUUAAAUAAGUCCAUCACUUGCUUGAGACAUGCAGUGGGAGAGGGAGUGUAAAGAGAAACUGAAUAAGACUUACUAAGCAUGGAGCAAGUCAGACUUCCAGUUGGACAAGUACUUAGCAUGCAUUUAUCUGAUACACUGUAUAUCAAAGGCUGACUGGGUUUUCUAACCCAUGUGUUAGAAGCAAGCAGCCUCCUCAUUUGUUAUCUAGAAACAAACAUCCUGAUUCUGCACUUCAAAACAACUUUUAUGCCUACAGCAGGUAUGUAAAAGGCUACAUACUAAAAAUAAUGUUGACUUACAUCAGUCUUGCAUAAAUAUAUAUAGUUCUGUAAAAGCUAACCUUACAGAAUCACGGGAUAGUUAAGGACGGAAAGAACUGUGUUGGAGGUCAUCUCAUCCCACCUCCCUGCUCAGGGAGGAUCACUGAGACCAGGCUGCCCAGGACCACAGCAGCUCCUCUGAAAGGAACCCACUGAUGGCUGUCAUUCCUUCUCAGUUACACAAAGUGUAUCACAACUGUGUCCAAGAAAUAUACUUAAAACUAAACCUUCUGCUGCAGCAGUGGAGAUAGAUGAACAGACUCUGCUUUGUCACACAUCACCUCAGCUCGAAGAGCACUCGAAGAAAAGAAGAGAAGGAUGCAUCUGUUUGUGAAUGGCUAAAGUGCAUCGUAGGACUGUUCAUAUUUGUGAAUGCAAAUUAAGAUAGUAGCACUUGCAAGAUGAAUCCAUUAAACAGAAGUAAAGCUUAGAAACUAUGUUAAUGUUA